UUUUGGCUUUGAAUGAGGGAUAGUAGCAGAAAUCCUUUUUGGAGUUUUUUUACUCCAAAAAGAUUGGAGCGUAUAGCCCGACCCGCU
rnacentral:sRNA from 1 species